AUGAACCAUUCAUGGAGCAAGCAUUUCACGGUCAUACACUCAUCAACUCCACUUACAAGAGUACCACCCAUUAAUAGCCUUUGUUCCCCGGUGAUGAUGACCAAGUACAUGAGGAACAAUGUGCAAGGACUUGUGCUACUUUCUUUUCUUCUUGUGGUGUGUUUGACUUGUCUCGGAGGCACAUAUGGCGAAAUCAUAAAUGACAAGGGGAGCAACAUGAUGAGGAAAGUAAGCCAUGUAACGAGACCCCCUUGUUAUAAAGAUGGGCACCAGCUCCCAGGAAGGGAAUUCUGCUGUAAAAUAGAUAACUUUUGUUGGCCAAAUCUUGGAGAAUGCUUCAUCAACUGUCCCUGCAAGAUUAAUUGCACACCAGCAGCAGCAGCAACACAAUAG
rnacentral:rRNA from 1 species